rnacentral:misc_RNA from 1 species
AAGAAGUUCAAAAAAAUAAUAGAAUAAUAAAAAGCUGAGAUUCAAAUAAAGCAUCAAAAUGAUGAGAUACCAAACAUUGAAAAUGCGAAUGUGUUAGCAAUUAAAAAUGCUUAGCAAGAGGUAGUGUCGUUUCUCCAUAUUAAUUCAUGAAAAGUAGAUAUGUAUACCGUGGUUCAAUCCACUUGUCACAUAGCUUAUUAACUUAUAUUAUGAACAUGAACUCUCUUAUCACAACAUAUGAACAUAUAUUAUGUAUACAUUAAUAGACAUUUUAAUCUAGCAACUUCCUCAUGGCUUAUUCCCCAAGAAAGAGAUGAAAAAGUCAUGGUUUUGUAAUAUAU